CCUACGGGAGGCAGCAGUGGGGGAUAUUGCACAAUGGUGGAAACCCUGAUGCAGCGACGCCGCGUGGGUGAAGAAGCGCCUCGGCGCGGAAAGCCCUGUCUGUCGGGAAGCAAAUGACGGUACCUGACGACGAAGCCCUGGCUAAAUACGUGCCAGCAGCCACGGCAACAUGUCGGGAGCCACGGUUAAACGGAUUUACGGGGGGUAAAGGGGGCUUAGGCGGGGAUGCAAGCGAGGAGUGAAUGCCCGGGGCCCAACCCCGGGACUGCUGUUGAAACUGCGUGGCUAGAGUGCAGGAGGGGCAGGCGGAAUGCCUGGUGUAGCGGUGAAAUGCGUAGAUAUCAGGCGGAACACCGAUGGCGAAGGCAGCCUGCUGGACUGCAACUGACGUUGAGGCACGAAAGCGUGGGGAGCGAACAGGAUUAGAUACCCGGGUAGUC
rnacentral:rRNA from 1 species